CCUUCGGGGCGAGUAAAGUGGCGCACGGGUGAGUAACGCGUGGAUAAUCUACCCUUAAGAUGGGGAUAACGGCUGGAAACGGUCGCUAAUACCGAAUACGCUCCCGAUUUUAUCAUUGGGGGGAAAGAUGGCCUCUGCUUGCAAGCUAUCGCUUAAGGAUGAGUCCGCGUCCCAUUAGCUAGUUGGCGGGGUAACGGCCCACCAAGGCAACGAUGGGUAGCCGGUCUGAGAGGAUGACCGGCCACACUGGAACUGGAACACGGUCCAGACUCCUACGGGAGGCAGCAGUGGGGAAUAUUGCGCAAUGGGCGAAAGCCUGACGCAGCGACGCCGCGUGAGGGAUGAAGGUUCUCGGAUCGUAAACCUCUGUCAGGGGGGAAGAAACCCCCUCGUGUGAAUAAUGCGAGGGCUUGACGGUACCCCCAAAGGAAGCACCGGCUAACUCCGUGCCAGCAGCCGCGGUAAUACGGAGGGUGCAAGCGUUAAUCGGAAUCACUGGGCGUAAAGCGCACGUAGGCGGCUUGGUAAGUCAGGGGUGAAAUCCCACAGCCCAACUGUGGAACUGCCUUUGAUACUGCCAGGCUUGAGUACCGGAGAGGGUGGCGGAAUUCCAGGUGUAGGAGUGAAAUCCGUAGAUAUCUGGAGGAACACCGGUGGCGAAGGCGGCCACCUGGACGGUAACUGACGCUGAGGUGCGAAAGCGUGGGUAGCAAACAGGAUUAGAUACCCUGGUAGUCCACGCUGUAAACGAUGGGUGCUGGGUGCU
rnacentral:rRNA from 1 species